UCUAAUAUGGCAGAAUAGUGCAAUGAGUUUAAGAUUCAUAUAUAAAGAUAAUUUUUUUGUUAGAA
rnacentral:tRNA from 1 species